rnacentral:rRNA from 1 species
AACGAACGCUGGCGGCAUGCCUAACACAUGCAAGUCGAACGAACCCUUCGGGGUUAGUGGCGCACGGGUGCGUAACGCGUGGGAAUCUGCCCUUUGCUUCGGAAUAACAGUUAGAAAUGACUGCUAAUACCGGAUGAUGUCUUCGGACCAAAGAUUUAUCGGCAAGGGAUGAGCCCGCGUAGGAUUAGGUAGUUGGUGGGGUAAAGGCCUAUCAAGCCGACGAUCCUUAGCUGGUCUGAGAGGAUGAUCAGCCACACUGGGACUGAGACACGGCCCAGACUCCUACGGGAGGCAGCAGUGGGGAAUAUUGGACAAUGGGCGCAAGCCUGAUCCAGCAAUGCCGCGUGAGUGAUGAAGGCCUUCGGGUCGUAAAGCUCUUUUACCAGGGAUGAUAAUGACAGUACCUGGAGAAUAAGCUCCGGCUAACUCCGUGCCAGCAGCCGCGGUAAUACGGAGGGAGCUAGCGUUGUUCGGAAUUACUGGGCGUAAAGCGCACGUAGGCGGCGACACAAGUCAGAGGUGAAAGCCCGGGGCUCAACCCCGGAACUGCCUUUGAAACUAGGUUGCUAGAAUCUUGGAGAGGUCAGUGGAAUUCCGAGUGUAGAGGUGAAAUUCGUAGAUAUUCGGAAGAACACCAGUGGCGAAGGCGACUGACUGGACAAGUAUUGACGCUGAGGCGCGAAAGCGU